GUCUACGGCCAUCCCAUCCAGAAUAAGCCCAAUUCUGUCUGAUCUCGGAAGCUAAGCAGGGUCGGGCCGGUUAGUACUUGGAUGGGAGACUACCUAGUAAGACCAGGUGCUGUAGGCG
rnacentral:rRNA from 1 species